rnacentral:rRNA from 1 species
UACGAAGGGGGCUAGCGUUGCUCGGAAUCACUGGGCGUAAAGGGUGCGUAGGCGGGUCUUUAAGUUAGGGGUGAAAUCCUGGAGCUCAACGUCCAGAACUGCCUUUGAUACUGAGGAUCUUGAGUUCGGGAGAGGUGAGUGGAACUGCGAGUGUAGAGGUGAAAUUCGUAGAUAUUCGCAAGAACACCAGUGGCGAAGGCGGCUCACUGGCCCGAUACUGACGCUGAGGCACGAAGGCGUGGGGAGCAAACAGG